GAUUCAUAAUAACUUCUCGAAUCGCACGGCCUUGCGCCGGCGAUGGUUCAUUCAAAUUUCUGCCCUAUCAACUUUCGACGGCUGGGUCUUGGCCAGCCAUGGUGACAACGGGUAACGGAGGGUUAGGGCUCGACCCCGGAGAAGGAGCCUGAGAAACGGCUACUACAUCCAAGGAAGGCAGCAGGCGCGCAAAUUACCCAAUCCCGACACGGGGAGGUAGUGACAAUAAAUACUGAUACAGGGCUCUUUUGGGUCUUGUAAUUGGAAUGAGUACAAUUUAAAUCCCUUAACGAGGAACAAUUGGAGGGCAAGUCUGGUGCCAGCAGCCGCGGUAAUUCCAGCUCCAAUAGCGUAUAUUAAAGUUGUUGAGGUUAAAAAGCUCGUAGUUGAACCUUGGGCCUGGCCGGCCGGUCCGCCUCACCGCGUGCACUGGCUCGGCUGGGUCUUUCCUUCUGGAGAACCGCAUGCCCUUCACUGGGUGUGCUGGGGAACCAGGACUUUUAC
rnacentral:rRNA from 1 species